rnacentral:tmRNA from 1 species
GGGGGCGAAAUAGGUCUCGACAGGGGGAGGAUAGAGAAAAGCUGCCGGCCGAGACGCCGGAGGCUCGUCAAAUCCGGCAAAAAAUAGCUGCCACAACAGCGAACUACAUGGCUGCUUAAAAAAGCAGUCACCUGACAGAAUUCCUGCUCCUGGGAUUCUGAAUCAGGUCGGAUAGGAGCUCGUUCCAGACCUCUGUGGUCCCUGGGGGCUGGAACUAAAUUCAACAGGGACAGGUAUUCUGGAAUCCGGUUUCGGGGAGUCCAGAAAUACCCAACAAAACCGAAACUAUGCUCGGUAGAUGCUUUUCUUAUUCCCCUCUGGACGCGGGGGCAGUACCCGCCGCCUCCACUU